rnacentral:rRNA from 1 species
AAAGCCAGGGGAGCGAAAGGGAUUAGAUACCCCUGUAGUCCUGGCCGUAAACGAUGAACACUAGGUGUCGGGGGAAUCGACCCCCUCGGUGUCGUAGCCAACGCGUUAAGUGUUCCGCCUGGGGAGUACGCACGCAAGUGUGAAACUCAAAGGAAUUGACGGGGGCCCGCACAAGCGGUGGAGUAUGUGGUUUAAUUCGAUGCAACGCGAAGAACCUUACCAGGGUUUGACAUCCUGCGAAUCUCCUGGAAACGGGGGAGUGCCUUCGGGAACGCAGUGACAGGUGGUGCAUGGCUGUCGUCAGCUCGUGUCGUGAGAUGUUGGGUUAAGUCCCGCAACGAGCGCAACCCACGUCUUUAGUUGCCAGCAUUCAGUUGGGCACUCUAGAGAGACCGCCGGUGAUAAACCGGAGGAAGGUGUGGAUGACGUCAAGUCAUCAUGCCCCUUACAUCCUGGGCUACACACGUACUACAAUGCUACGGACAAAGGGCAGCAAACUCGCGAGAGCUAGCAAAUCCCAUAAACCGUGGCUCAGUUCAGAUCGUAGGCUGCAACUCGCCUACGUGAAGGAGGAAUCGCUAGUAAUCGCAGGUCAGCAUACUGCGGUGAAUACGUUCCCGGGCCUUGUACACACCGCCCGUCACACCAUGGAAGUUGGCCAUGCCCGAAGCCGUUACUCCAACCCUUGUGGAGGAGGACGUCGAAGGUGGGGCUGAUGACUGGGGUGAAGUCGUAACAAGGUAAC